AGUUUUUUAAUUUAAUAAAAGAUAAAAUCUGCCCAAUGAAAGUUUAAAUUUUAAAGGCCGCAGUAUAUUGACUGUGCAAAGGUAGCAUAAUCAAUAGAUUUUUAAUUGAAAUCUAGAAUGAAUGAUUAAAUGAAAUAAAAUCUUUUUUAAUUUUAAUAUUUGAAUUUUAUAUAUUAGUAAAAAAUCUAAUUUAAUAAAAAGGGACGAGAAGACCCUAUAGAAUUUUAUAAAUUUUAUUAAUUUAUUAUUUUUAUUUAUUUAAUUAUUUAAAGGUUUAUUUUGUUGGGGAGAUAUUUAAAUUUUUAAAACUUUAAUUUUAAAAAAAUUCAUUUUAUAAUUGUUUAUAUGAUCUUUCUUUAUGGAUUAAAAAAUUAAAUUACCUUAGGGAUAACAGCAUAAUAAUUUUUAUAAGUUCUUAUUAUAAAAAUAGUUUAUGACCUCGAUGUUGAAUUAAAAUAAUUAUUAUAUGAAGGGAUAUAAUAAAUAAGUCUG
rnacentral:rRNA from 1 species